AGAAAAGCUCUUAAUAUACUGCUUCAUCUUAGGAGUUGUCAGCACCAUUGGCAAGCAAAGAUGAGCAUGAAGGAGCUGUACUUUUCUGGAUGUGAUUAAUUCUGGCACAGUACUUGUUCCCAUGGCUAAGCCCUGUGUGCACUGCUGUUCUUGUCAGGGUUUGGAAUCAUGGAGUCAGAUGGAAUCAAUGGAAACACCUGAAAUGGAUAACAGCUGAGAAGUGGGCGCAACCUGGGAUGCUACACAGAGGAUGGAAGUCAAAGACCGCUUUAAAGUGACCAUGGAUGAUGAGAGAAGUCAUGCAUUCUGUUCCAUUUCCCAGGAGUCUGACAUUGUCCUGCACUGGCAG